UCCAUCUGCUAGGAAUGCUGUGUUUAAUUUGGGGGGGGAGACUAGGACAGCAGUGUCCCUCAUUUGGAAAGAGUAGGACCGAAAGCUCUGGUGAAGGCAUCCUCUGUAGAUCAGAAGGCUCCAAUUCAAAGCAUUUGUCGCACCAGUUUUGGCUUGACCACCUCGUAUCAUUCACCCAGACUUGAUAUUUCUCUUUGUACCUAUGAUCCAGAACCUUGGCAUAGGCAUGGACAUAACCAUAGGAGGUUUGAUCUGGUCUGGUUUUGCUCUGAUACAGCUCCCAGCACACAUAGUCAUGACAGGAUGCGGCAGCUGCAUGUGCCUUUCCUUGCCUGUGUGUAUCCUACUGUAUCACUGCAGUACAGAGUAUCCCAUUCUUGACUCUUCGAGAUGUACAGGCCCACUGUAAGAAACAAGUGACACUGUCUCAUUCUUUCCCUUGAAAUGGAGAAUCUGUCAAACAAGGAGAGGCUGAGAACCGGGUCUGUUGAGGCUGAGAAGAAAAAGCUCAGGGCAGAGUUUAUCAACAUCUGAUGGGUGAAAUAAGGAUGAAGCCACACUCAUCCUAGUAGCAUCCAGUAACAGGCAGUUAUUCUCCUGUGAGAAGCAAUCGUCACAAAUAUAAAAUA